rnacentral:rRNA from 1 species
AUGGCGUCGUCGAUGCGCCGCCCUGCCGACUGGUUCCUGCACGACUGGGUCGAGAGGCUCGACACUCAGCGUCCGCCGACUCCGACGCCUCCCCGCCACGCCUCCGGCUGCAAGGCCGGCCGCGGCGGAGGCUCUCCUCCUUCGCCGCCGCGGCGAGCACCCCGAGUACCUUCCCCACCACGCCCGUCGGCGCGGCGGGGCCGGUGCCAGGUCCACUACGGGAUCCAGUCAGCCGCGCCACCGCACCGGCUCCAGGCGCGCGUCACCUCCCCGGCGGACCACCGGAACGCCUCCGCGUUCAGACAGCGGAAUCCCUCCUCGCGCUCGCCUGUGCACAGAGGACUCAACGUCUUCAAUCGAUUCGCUCUCUUAGCGAUGGCGAGUGACUACGAGAGGGAGUUUCCGGUGUUGCCUGCUGCAACCGGAAGCAUCAGCGACAAGGAGGCGAAGCAGCGGGGGGAAUCUCCUAUCAAGCAUUCGAACAACAAGCUCCGGGGAGGCGUUAGGAGGGCUCCGCAGGUGCAGCACGUUACGAAGGCCGUCGCCGAGCCCGCGGUCAAGGCCAAGGGAGACGCUGAGCUGACGAAGGGCGAGAGCCAGGGCCACGCCGAGGCGGGGAUCAAGGUCGAGGGCCACGCCGAGCUGGCGAAGGGCGAGAGCGAGCGCCAAGCCGAGGCGCCGAUCAAGGCCAAGGGCCACGCCGAACUGGCGAAGGGCGAGAGCGAGGGCCAAGCCGAGGCGUCGAUCAAGGUCGAGGGCCAGGCCGAGCUGACGAAGGGCGAGAGCGAGGACCACGCCGAUGCGGCGACCAAGGCCGCGGGCGACGCCAAGGUGUCGGUCAAGAGCGACAAGGCCGCACGCAACGUCCCCGACCUCGCCGGCGAGCUCAAUGGCCAGGACUUCUUCGUCGGUUCGAUUCUAGUAAGAUGCGGCCCCCCAGUUGCCGUUGUCGCGGGAGGUGUUGAGGGCUGCCGUCGCGGAGGGCCUGGCGGAGGCAGUGGGGGAGUACAUGCUGGAGGUGGUGAUGGAUGCGGUGGCGGAGGGCCAGUACCCGAUGGCGGCGGAGGCGGUGUGGGAGGGGGAGGACCGGCCGAUGGCGGCGGGGGUGGUGGGGGAGGAGGACCCCCCGGUGGCGGCGGAGGCGGCCCGCCGCCUCCCCAACCACCCUAUCCACAGCGUCUACCGUUCGCCAGAUGCCAGCGGGCAGGCUGUGGCGUCGACGCCCUGUUCUUUUGCUCGCAGUGCGGGCUGGUUUGCUGUCCGGAGCACGUCUGCCCGGACUGCACCGCGCCACUCUCCGAGCUGCCGGCGCCUCGCCUCUCGGUGCCGCAGGUACAAAUUUACCAGCCCUUUCAGUACCCACCAACUCUCCAGCUAUUCGUCGGUGCGUUUCGUGUGGGAAAUCGUGUUAGUCAUUACUUUGCAAGACCCCAAGAUGUGUUUGGGCAUGGUGAUGUCAUUGCUGGAGAAGCGCAACACUUUGACAUGCAGGGUUUUUGGAUGGUUAGAUCUGUCCGCGAGGCGCCCUGCAUUCUCCGCAGGGUCAACAUGUUUCCUGAGCCCCAGUUUUAUUCAUGGUAG